GCCUCCCAAAGUGUUGGGAUUACAGGCGUGAGCCACUGCACCUGGCCUCAACAUAUAUUUAUUAAAUGCCCAUUGUGGGGGGCUAUACACUGACUAAACAAAGACCAGUUUAAACACACGGUUCCUGCCCUCAUGAAGUUUACAAUCUGAGGAGAGAGGGAAGGUAGAGAAAAGGUGGAAGAGAAGCUUCCCAUGCCUGGUUUAUGAAUAUGGCCUUGAAAAUGUCAACAGAUGUAUUGUCUUGUUGAGUCUGCAGCCAGGAAAGCAGAAAUCAAUGGCAGCAAAGCAGGUGUGAAUGUCCCCCGACUUCAGAGGCAGUUCACUUUGAAGCUGGAAAAUCAAGGACGCUGGUACCUUCAAGGAAACAAGAAUAUAAUUAUCACAACACCCAAUUUGCCAGUGACCUUCCAUUCCUCAGGCCUGCCCUACUCCCUUCGCUGGCACCAACCCAGGUCCUCACAGACUGAACUCUGUGUCCCAGGCUGCUCAGAUGGAGGAGCAACCCACUCAAGCACCCUUUGAAAUUAUUCUUAAUCUCUUUCUACUACACUGCUUUCACUGACAUAAAUCCGCCAGCCCAAGGGGCCUCAGACCCCUCCACGGAGGGAGGCCCAUUCAGGCCAAGUGGAGUCAGAGCAGCUAAGCUGCAGAAUUUAUGCUUCCUCUCACCUGCGCCGUCUGUCUAUGGCCUCAGCUCUGGUCUGUUUUUGAAGGUUUGAGCAUAACCCUGCAGCUUCUUGCCAAGUUGGCCAUCAUCACCUCUGUCAUAGAAGCAGAUUUCGCAAGGCCAUUGGAAGCUAAUAACAGCGACUUUUAACUUCAUUAUUGUAUUUGAAACGUUGAAAGCAGAAGCCUAAUAAAAAUGAGUUCAGG
rnacentral:lncRNA from 1 species